rnacentral:misc_RNA from 1 species
AACAAGGUUUCCGUAGGUGAACCUGCGGAAGGAUCAUUGAAUAUGCAAACCACAACACGCACUCUUUUAUUUGUGUACCGACGUUAGGUCGAACCACUAACCCUGGUUUGGCCUACUAACCUACACACACACCAUUGACCAACAUUUGAUUAAACCAAACUCUGAAGUUUCAGCUGCUGUUAAUCGGCAGUUUUAACGAAAACAACUCUCAACAACGGAUAUCUUGGCUCUCGCAACGAUGAAGAACGCAGCGAAAUGCGAUACGUAGUGUGAAUUGCAGAAUUCCGUGAACCAUCGAAUCUUUGAACGCAUAUUGCGCUCGACUCCUCGGAGAAGAGCAUGUCUGCCUCAGCGUCGGUUUACACCCUCACCCCUCUUCCUUAACAGGAAGCUUGUCGUGCUUGCUCAAGCCGGCAUCAGGGGUGGAUCUGGCCCUCCCAAUCGGACUCACCUCCGAUUGGGUUGGCUGAAGCACAGAGGCUUAAACUGGGACCCAAUUCGGGCUCAACUGGAUAGGUAGCAACACCCUCGGGUGCCUACACGAAGUUGUGUCUGAGGACCUGGUUAGGAGCCAAGCAGGAAACGUGUCUCUGACGCGUAUCUCUGUAUUCGACCUGAGCUCAGGCAAGGCUACCCGCUGAACUUAAGCAUAUCCCGCUGAACUUAAGCAUAU